UUGAACGCUGGCGGCAGGCCUAACACAUGCAAGUCGAGCGCGAAAGGUUUUCGGACUGAGUAAAGCGGCGGACGGGUGAGUAACGCGUGGGAAUCUGCCCAGUAGUGGGGGACAACAGUCGGAAGCGACUGCUAAUACCGCAUACGCCCUACGGGGGAAAGGGGGGGAUCUUCGGACCUCUCGCUAUUGGAUGAGCCCGCGUCGGAUUAGCUAGUUGGUAGGGUACAGGCCUACCAAGGCUACGAUCCGUAACUGGUCUGAGAGGAUGAUCAGUCAAACUGGAACUGAGAGACGGUCCAGACUCCUAAGGGAGGCAGCAGUGGGGAAUAUUGGACAAUGGGGGAAACCCUGAUCCAGCCAGGCCGCGUGUGUGAAGAAGGCCUUAGGGUUGUAAAGCACUUUCAGUGGGGAGAAAGGUUUGACACCUAAUACGUGAUGAAAUUGAUGUUACCCACAGAAGAAGCACCGGCUAACUCCGUGCCAGCCGCCGCGGUAA
rnacentral:rRNA from 1 species